rnacentral:tRNA from 1 species
GCACUGGUGGUUCAGUGGUAGAAUUCUCGCCCUCCAUGCUGGAGACCUGAGUUUGAUACCCAGCCAAUGCA